AACGACUCUCGCAACGGAUAUCUCGGCUCUCGCAUCGAUGAAGAACGUAGCGAAAUGCGAUACUUGGUGUGAAUUGCAGAAUCCGUGAACCAUCGAGUCUUUGAACGCAAGUUGCCCCCAAGCCAUUAGGCCGAGGGCACGCCUGCCUGGGUGUCAUGCACCGUCGCCCCUCCGACCCCGCCCUCGGGCUCCGGGGGAAGGGGGCGGAAGAUGGCCUCCGCGAUCCGUGGGUCGCGGUUGGCCCAAAAGCGAGUCCCCGCAACGACAGCGCCGUGACGUCGGUGGUGGAGCUCCGUGCCUCGUCCCCGGUGACGCGCGCUCGUUGUCCACCGGACCCUUCGGACCCCCGCAUCGCUCGAUCGAUGCUCGUAUUGUGACCCCAGGUCAGGCGGGAUCACCCGCUGAGUUUAAGCAUAUCAAUAAGCGGAGGAAAAGAAACUUACUAGGAUUCCCCUAGUAACGGCGAACGAACCGAGAAGAGCCCAGCUUAAGAAUCGGGCACCCCCGGCAUCCGAAUUGUUGUCUGGAGAAGCAUCCUCAGCGGUGGACCGAGCCCAAGUCCCCUGGAAAGGGGGCCGGAGAGGGUGAGAGCCCCGUUGUGCCCGGACCCUGUCGCACCACGAGGCGCUAUCCGCGAGUCGGAUUGUUUGGGAAUGCAGCCUCAAUCAGGCGGUAAAUUUCAUCCAAGGCUGAAUACGGGUGAGAGAUCGAUAGCGAACAAGUACCGUGAGGGAAAGAUGGAAAGGACUUUGAAAAGAGAGUCAAAGAGUACUUGAAAUUGUCAGGAGGGAAGCAGAUGGGGGUCGGUGAUGCACCGGAUUGGAUGUGGAAUGACGAGAGCCGGUCUACCAAUCAGCUCGGGACGUGGAUCGAUGCAGGUCGUAGCGGCAGCCCAAGCCUGGGCUUUUGAUGUGCCCGCGGAGACAUCGUCACCAUGAUCAGGGGAAUGCAGCACAUGCCAUCUCGGCGUGCCCCGACACUGGCGUGCUCCAUGCGUCAGUCUGUGGGCUCCCCAUCCGGCCCAUCUUGAAACACAGACCAAAGAGUCUGACAUGCGUGCGAGUCAACGGGCCAAAAAACCCGUAAGGCACAAAGAAACUGAUUGGUGGGAUCCCUCGCAGGUGCACCAUCGAUCGACCUUGAUCUUCUUAGAAGGGUUCGAGUGUGAGCAUGCCCGUCGAGACCCGAAAGAUGGUGAACUAUGCCUGAGCGGGGCGAAGCCAGAGGAAACUCUGACGAAGGCCCGUAGUGAUACUUACGUGCAAAUCGUUCGUCUGACUUGGGUAUAGGGGCAAAAGACUAAUCGAACCGUCUAGUAGCUGGUUCCCUCCGAAGUUUCCCUCAGGAUAGCUGAAGCCCUCAUCGAGUUCUAUCGGGUAAAGCCAAUGAUUAGAGGCAUCGGGGGUGCAACGCCCUCGACCUAUUCUCAAACUGUAAAUAGGUAAGACGGCAUGGCUGCUUCGUUGAGCCGUGCCACAGAAUCGAGAGCUCCAAGCGGGCCAUUUUUGGUAAACAAAACUGAUGAUGUCGGAUGAACCGAAAGUCAGGUUACAGUGCCCAACUACGUGCUAACCCAGAACGCAUAAAGGGUGUUGGUCGAUUAAGACAGCAGGACGAUGGUCAUGAAAGUCAAAAUCUGUUUCGGAGUAUGUAACAACUCACCUGCCGAAUCAACUAGCCCCGAAAAUGGAUGGUGCUUAAGCGCGUGACCUAUACCCGAUCAUCAGGGUAAGGGCCAGGCUCUGAUGAAUAAGAGGGCACGAUGGUCUCCUUAAAACUCAGGGUGUGAGCCCAGACAGAGUAGUCAUCAGUGCAGAUCUUGGUGGUAGUAGAAAUAUUCAAAUGAGAACUUUGAAGGCCAAAUAGGGGAAAGGUUCCAUGUGAAUGGCACUUGCACAUGGGUUAGUCGAUCCUAAGAGACGGGGGAAGCCCGUCUGACAGCAAGUCUCGUGCGAGCUUUAAAAGGGAAUCGGGUUAAAAUUCCUAAACUGGGAUGCGACGGCUGAUGGCAACGUUAGAGAGUCCAGAGACGUCGACGAGGGCCUCAGGAAGAGUUAUCUUUUCUAUUUAAUGGCCCGCCCACCCUGAAAAUGGCUCAGCUAGAGGUAGGGUCCAGUGGUCGGAAGAGCAUCGCACAUCACGUGGUGUCUGGUGCACCCCUGGUGGCCCUUGAAAAUCUGGAGGACCGAGUGCCAUCCACGCCCGAUCGUACUCAUAGCCAUAUCAGGUCUCCAAGGUGAAUAGCCUCUGGUCAAUGGAACAAUGUAGGUAAGGGAAGUCACAAAAUAGAUCCGUAACCUCGAGAAAAAGAUUGGCUCUAAGGGCUGGGCACGGGGGUCCUAGUCCUGAACCCGUCGGCUACUGGUACACUACUCGAGCUACUCUCGCAGUGAGAACGGGUCACCUCAUGUCGGUUAGGGGACAGACUGGGAACGGCUCCCUCAGGGGCCUUCCCUAGGCAAUGAACAGUCAACUCAAAACUGGUACGAACAAGGGGAAUCUAACUGUUUAAUUCAAACAAAGCAUUACGAUGGUCCCUACGGAUGCUCACGCAAUGUGAUUUCCACCCAAUGCUUUGAAUGUCAAAGUGAAGAAAUUCAACCAAGCGCAGGUAAACGGCGGGAGUAACUAUGACUCUCUUAAGGUAGCCAAAUGCCUCGUCAUCUAACUAGUGACAUGCAUGAAUGGAUUAACGAGAUUCCCACUGUCCCUGUCUACUAUCCAGUGAAACCACAGUUAAAGGAACAGGCUUGGUAGAAUCAGCAGGGAAAAAGGACCCUGUUGAGCUUGACUCUAGUCCGACUUUGUGAAAUAACUUAAGAGGUGUAGGAUAAGUGGGAGCCCUCGGGCAAAAUUGAAAUACUACUACUUUUAACGUUAUUUUACUUAUUUCAUGAAUUGAAGGCGGGGCACGACCCCUUCUUUUGGACCUAAGGUUGGCCUCGAUCGGUCAUCCGGGCGAAAGACAUUGUCAGGUGGGGAGUUUGGCUAGGGCAGCACAUUUGUUAAAUAAUAACGCCGGUGUCCUAAGAUGAGCUCAACGAGAACAUAAAUCUUGUGUGGAAUAAAAGGGUAAAAGCUCGUUUGAUUCUGAUUUCUAGUACGAAUAUGAAUCGUGAAAACGUGACCUAUUGAUCCUUUAGACCUUCGAGAUUUAAAGCUAGAGGUGUCAAAAAAGUUACCAUAGGGAUAACUGGUUUGUGGUAGCCAAGCGUUCAUAUCGACAUUGCUUUUUGAUCCUUCGAUGUCGGCUCUUCCUGUCAUUGUGAAGCAGAAUUCACCAAGUGUUGGAUUGUUCACCCACCAAUAAGGAACGUGAGCUGGGUUUAGACCAUCGUGAGACAGAUUAGUUUUACCUUACUGAUGGUGGCGUCGGGAUAGUAAUUGAACCUAGUAUGAGAGGAAUCGUUGAUUCGUACAAUUGGUCAUCGCGCUUGGUUGAAAAGCUAGCGACGUGAAGCUAUCGUGCGUUGGAUUAUGACUGAACACCUCUAAGUCAGAAUUCGAGCUAGAAGCGACUCGUGCACCUGCCACCCGAUUGCCGACCCAUAGUAGGGGCCUAUGGCCCCCAAGGGCACAUGUCAUAGGUGUAGCCCCCACGGUGGACGAGCCGUGCGGGCCUUCUUGGAGCUCAAUUCCCAUCGAUCGAUGGGUAAAAUC
rnacentral:rRNA from 1 species